rnacentral:rRNA from 1 species
AUCUGUUGUCAAUAUUGGCAUGCAGAGCAGCUACGCUCUCGAGGAUAAAUGCUGAAAGCAUCUAAGCAUGAAACCUCCCUCUAAAAAAGAUACAUUGAUCUCUCAUAAAAGAUGAGUUUGAUAGGCUCGGGGUGUAAUU